GAUGAACGCUGGCGGCGUGCCUAACACAUGCAAGUCGAACGGAGAUUACGAACGGAAGUUUUCGGAUGGAAGUUUGUAAUUCUUAGUGGCGGACGGGUGAGUAACGCGUGGGCAACCUGCCCUAUACAGGGGGAUAGCAGCUGGAAACGGCUGGUAAGACCGCAUAAGUCGGCGAGACCGCAUGGUUUUGUCGGGAAAUGAGUAAUCAGGUAUAGGAUGGGCCUGCGUCCGAUUAGCCAGUUGGCAGGGUAAAAGCCUACCAAAGCAACGAUCGGUAGCCGGACUGAGAGGUCGGACGGCCACAUUGGGACUGAGACACGGCCCAAACUCCUACGGGAGGCAGCAGUGGGGGAUAUUGCACAAUGGAGGAAACUCUGAUGCAGCGACGCCGCGUGAGUGAAGAAGUAUUUCGGUAUGUAAAGCUCUAUCAGCAGGGAAGAU
rnacentral:rRNA from 1 species